UCUAUAGGUUACCUGCCUUGUGUGAGACAGAUGAAGAGCGGUUGAAGAGACCCUGUGAUGUUUCCUGAUCAGCCCGGGGAGAUGUACAGUUGAUGGAGGUCUGUGCUGCGGCUGCAUUGUUGAAUUCACAGACGGAGCAAAAAGCUGGUAAAGGUAUAAAGUCCGUUCUGAAGAAGCUCCUGCAUUCUGGAGACAACCGUCUGGAUCACCGAUCACUUUCUUCACAUUUUGAUUAACGCACAACAGAAGAAGAAGGAAGAGCGCGACCUCGGGCUCUCAAAAAAGAAAGGUCUCCCCAACCUGCCUAUGAUCUAUGUGACAGUGCCUUGGAAAUGGACUGUCCUGAGAAAAAUUGACAGUUUGGAGGUAUGCAGCAUGGUGGUUGGCAGGAAAAGACACAAUGGUCCUUCAACUUCAACCUUUGUCAGGUUGACCAUAAAAAACUGCUUGGACGUCAACAUGGUGCGAUCUAGCUGACUAUCUUCACUGGAUAAGUCACAGUAGGGGAAAAUCU